GGGGGGGGGGACGCUAUUGGACUUACACUUCCGGGUCACAGCCCAUCACUGAGGGAAGUCAGGGCUGGAACUGGAGGCAGAAACCUGGAAGAAUGCGGCUUGCUGACUGGCUCUUUCUCAGGCUCGUACUUACUCAGCUUUCUGAUACAGCCCAGGAUACAGCAGCUGCCUGCAGUGGUACCAGUCACAGUGGGCUGGACCCUCUUACAUCAGAUACAAAUCAAGACAGUCUCCACCCAAGACACACCCACAGGCCAACCUGAUUAUUGGGAGUUUGUUUUGUGCUUAGGUGGGAAUUUGCACAUCCGCUGAAGGUCCCUGCCAACUGUUGGUUUUUUGCCGGGUCAUUGAAGAGCCAGCGGCCAAUGGCUGGGAAAGGGGAGAGAGGCGGGACUUUUUGGAUUCGCAGGCAAGAAAUGCUAAGGAAAGAAGGGAAAGAAUGACCAGGAUUGGGAAGCAGAGCGAUCAGACUAAAGAGCCCACUAACAGAGCUCUAUGGAGGGUGCAGAGCUGGGAGCAUCGAGUGGCCUAUAAAUAUUUACCGCAACACCAGAUGACAUCAACUACUCAACUAAGACACCUUCUUCAGGAUUUGGAUGGCUGACUGGCUACUUCGGAGCUCUUUGGAGAAACAGUUGGGGUUGAUGGUGUUAGCAGUUCCUACACUGGAAUCAGGUUCUGCCAUGACACCAUUGUUGAGGGUUCCAGGGAGUCAUCCCUGCUCCUCCAUUCCUUGUCAGUAACUCCAGGGCCACCACCCAACUCUAUUCUCCCUCCACCACGCCCCACUUACCUGAGGCUUAUUGUUAUUGACUCAGAUAUGGAGCCACUGUCUCGGGAUGCACACAGCUGACCAAAUUGUGUCUUCUGUCCUCCACCCCAACUCCAAACACAGAGCCCUGAUGACAGCCCCUUUCAUAACUGCGCUCAUAUAAUAAACAAAUAAGAAAACCUCUGAGUAUUAUUGCAAGUCCUAUAGUCUUGGCUGCUGUUUAUAAUGUAGUGGUGAAGUUACUGUAACCCAAUUACAACAGGCUUUAUGAUAGUGAGCACAGCCUGCAAUUUGUAAGGUCCAGAACUUUCUUGUAUUUAUGAAAAACAUUUGUCUUGCAUUUUUCAAAGGGUCAUAAAAUCCAGCAACGUGUGUACUCUGUUUUUAUAUACUCUUAAAAACCUAGAUUGCAGAAAAUCCCUCGCCAAUGAAUCUGAUUCCACAGAGUCGCACAAUACCAAGAAAUGGCCACACCUCCCUGCGUGUGCUGUUUCACCUGCAUCGCCUCACAUGGCCCUCACGGCAACCUCUGAGGGUCAUAAGGAAGAAAU
rnacentral:lncRNA from 1 species